AACGAACGCUGGCGGCAGGCCUAACACAUGCAAGUCGAGCGAGCAUUUCGGUGCUAGCGGCGGACGGGUGAGUAACGCGUGGGAACGUGCCCUUUUCUGCGGAAUAGUCCUGGGAGACUGGGGGUAAUACCGCAUACGCCCUUUUGGGGAAAGAUUUAUCGGAGAAGGAUCGGCCCGCGUUGGAUUAGGUAGUUGGUGGGGUAAUGGCCCACCAAGCCGACGAUCCAUAGCUGGUUUGAGAGGAUGAUCAGCCACACUGGGACUGAGACACGGCCCAGACUCCUACGGGAGGCAGCAGUGGGGAAUCUUAGACAAUGGGGGCAACCCUGAUCUAGCCAUGCCGCGUGAGUGAUGAAGGCCUUAGGGUUGUAAAGCUCUUUCAGCUGGGAAGAUAAUGACGGUACCAGCAGAAGAAGCCCCGGCUAACUCCGUG
rnacentral:rRNA from 1 species